CUAAAUGGCAUACGUAUAUUUUUGUACAUUCUUACACACGUGUCGUACUGGAAAUUAAAAUUUCUUAAGUCACUACAAUAAUAUGAUGUAGUACUUUGUGUAUGACAAAAAAUGCACAAGUCGAAUCGUAGUCCAAUGACUUGAGGUCGUUGAGCGUCUGCAUUUAGGUUUGACCGUUUUUGGCCGUUCGAAGCAACCGUGUCAUAAUGUCGUGUAGCGAGAUUUCGAACGUAAUUCGUUCGAAUAUGAACACUAAAACAAUAAUUUAUUGUCUCCGGGCCAUUUUUC